rnacentral:rRNA from 1 species
AUUGAACGCUGGCGGCAGGCUUAACACAUGCAAGUCGAACGAGUGGCGGACGGGUGAGUAAUGUCUGGGAAACUGCCCGAUGGAGGGGGAUAACUACUGGAAACGGUAGCUAAUACCGCAUACUAUCGGAUGAACCCAUAUGGGAUUAGCUAGUAGGUGGGGAAAAGGCUCACCUAGGCGACGAUCUCUAGCUGGUCUGAGAGGAUGAUCAGCCAAACUGGUAAUGAGACACGGCCCAGACUCCUACGGUAGGCAGCAGUGGGGAAUAUUGCACAAUGGGCGCAAGCCGGAUGCAGCCAUGCCGCGUGUAUGAAGAAGGCCUUAGGGUUGUAAAGUACUUUCAGCGGGGAGGCGUUACCCGCAGAAGAAGCACCGGCUAACUCCGUGCCAGCAGCCGCGGUAAUUC